CAAGCGUUAAUCGGAAUUACUGGGCGUAAAGCGUGCGUAGUCGGUUAUCUAAGUCGGAUGUGAAAUCCCCGGGCUCAACCUGGGAAUUGCAUUCGAUACUGGAUAGCUAGAGUUCGGCAGAGGGAAGUGGAAUUUCGGGUGUAGCGGUGAAAUGCGUAGAUAUCCGAAGGAACAUCAGUGGCGAAAGCGACUUCCUGGACCAGAACUGACGAUCAGGCACGAAAGCGUGGGGAGCAAACAGG
rnacentral:rRNA from 1 species